CCUGCAUUUUAUCAGAUCAUUUCCUGCACAUGAAAGAACUGCUUCAUUCAUCACCAGAUCCUUAUAGUUAUCGAAGCGGUAAGAGACUUUGAAUGCUCAGAUAUGCCCCCCACUGAUCCAGUCUGCUUUUACUCAACCACAGAAACAUACACUACCUGUUGGAAAUACUUCUCAGCCCCUCAUCUGGGCACCAUGCCUCUCCCUGCCUUAGCUGGUGUGCUUCAAUGUGGGGCGUGGAUAUACAAUGAAGGUCCUUCUUGAACAAACCAGCCACAGAGACCAGCCUGCACAGCGCAGCAGAUCAGCACAAACAGCCAGCUCGCAGGGCCUCUUAAUGUAUGCAGUGAGAUGGAAACUAUAAUGGAGAGGGUGACAGUGUGGAAAAAGGAGGUGAAGGGCAGCUGAAGACGACACACCACAUCCCCUGGCUUCCCCAGGAAAAACAGCAGACUG